AUUGAACGCUGGCGGCAGGCCUAACACAUGCAAGUCGAACGGUAACAGGAAGAAGCUUGCUUCUUUGCUGACGCGUGGCGGACGGGUGAGUAAUGUCUGGGAAACUGCCUGAUGGAGGGGGAUAACUACUGGAAACGGUAGCUAAUACCGCAUAAUGUCGCAAGACCAAAGGGGGGGACCUUCGGGCCCUUUGCCAUCGGAUGUGCCCAGAUGGGAUGAGCCAGUAGGUGGGGUAACGGCUCACCUAGGCGACGAUCCCUAGCUGGUCUGAGAGGCUGACCAGCCACACUGGAACUGAGGCACGGUCCAGACUCCGACGGGAGGCAGCAGUGGGGAAUAUUGCACAAUGGGCGCGAGCCUGAUGCAGCUAUGCCGCGUGUAUGGAGAAGGCCUUCGGGUUGUAAAGUAAUUUCAGCGGGGAGGAAGGGAGUAAAGUUAAUACCUCUGCUCAUUGACGUUACCCGCAGAAGAAGCAGCGGCGAACUCCGU
rnacentral:rRNA from 1 species